GGAGGUAGUGACAAUAAAUCACAAUGCGGGACUAUACGUCUUGCAAUUGGAUUGAGAACAAUGUACAACUCUUAUCGAUAAGCCAUUGGAGGGCAAGUCUGGUGCCAGCAGCCGCGGUAAUUCCAGCUCCAAUAGCGUAUAUUAACGUUGUUGCAGUUAAAAAGCUCGUAGUUGAAGUGUGGGUGAUCGCUGUUGUGAGACUUCGGUCUCUCGACAGUAAGUCACCCCCUUCCAGUAUCCAGUAGUGGGUAUUCAGUUACUUACUAUUGUGUGUUGGUCGUUUACUGUGAGAAAAUUAGAGUGUUCAAAGCAGGCGUUUGCUUGAAUAGAUUAGCAUGGAAUAAUAAUUGAAGGCUUUCGUGUUCGAUUUGAUUGGUUUGUUCAUGGAAGCAAGGUUAAAAGGAACAGUUGGGGGUAUUCAUAUUCACUAGUUAGAGGUGAAAUUCUCGGAUUUAUGGAAGAUGAACAAGUGCGAAAGCA
rnacentral:rRNA from 1 species